UGGAAGCUGAAUUGUGAAUCAAAAGAGAGUGAAUUGUCAUUCCAGGCAGAGGAAAUUAAAUGGGCAAAGGUUCUGAGGCAGAGAAUGGCUCUUUGAGUGAGAUAAGGGAGAAUUAGAAUGGUUUCAGAUGUAGAUGUUCUGGUAUUUUGCAUCUUGUCUAUCAAGACAGAAACCAUCUCUCUAAAUAAUUGCUGUGAACUUGAAGAUGACAGAGUAGAUAGAGUGACCACUGAGUG
rnacentral:lncRNA from 1 species